rnacentral:rRNA from 1 species
UACGUAGGGACCAAGCGUUGUUCGGAAUUAUUGGGCGUAAAGGGCGCGUAGGCGGCGCCACAAGUCACUUGUGAAAACUCUGGGCUCAACCCAGAGCCUGCAGGCGAAACUGUGGUGCUGGAGUAUGGGAGAGGUGCGUGGAAUUCCCGGUGUAGCGGUGAAAUGCGUAGAUAUCGGGAAGAACACCAGUGGCGAAAGCGCUCUACUGGGCCAUAACUGACACUGAGGGACGAAAGCUAGGGGAGCGAAAGGG